CUCUGAACUUGCCUUGACCUGUCAAGACUCCUGAUUUCACUUCUUAAAAAUGAAGUCUGUCUCUCAGCUCCUGUGGCUGUUAAUGCUCUGGAUCCCUGGAUCCAAUGGAGAUGUUGUGAUGACCCAGACUCCACUUUCCCUGCUUGUCACCCUGGGAGAGCCAGCCUCCAUCUCCUGCAGGUCUAGUCAGAGCCUUCUGUAUAGCGAUGGGAACACCUAUUUUUAUUGGUUCCUACAGAAGCCAGGCCAGUCUUUACAUCGCCUGAUCUACUUGGUUUCCAAAAGAGGAUCUGGGGUCCCAGACAGAUUCAGUAGCAGUGGGUCAGGCUCAGAUUUCACACUGACAAUCAGCAGGGUGGAGGCUGAGGAUGUUGGAGUUUAUUACUGUUUUCAAGGUACACAUGUUCCUCCCACAGUGAUACAGCCUUGAACAAAAACCUCCCAUCUGGC